AACGAACGCUGGCGGCAGGCCUAACACAUGCAAGUCGAACGCUGCAGCAAUGCAGAGUGGCAGACGGGUGAGUAACGCGUGGGAACCUUCCCAGUGGUACGGAACAGCUCAGGGAAACUUGAGGUAAUACCGUAUACGCCCUUCGGGGGAAAGAUUUAUCGCCAUUGGAUGGGCCCGCGUAGGAUUAGCUAGUUGGUGAGGUAAUGGCUCACCAAGGCGACGAUCCUUAGCUGGUCUGAGAGGAUGAUCAGCCACACUGGGACUGAGACACGGCCCAGACUCCUACGGGAGGCAGCAGUGGGGAAUAUUGGACAAUGGGCGCAAGCCUGAUCCAGCCAUGCCGCGUGGAUGAUGAAGGCCUUAGGGUUGUAAAGUCCUUUUAACGGGGAAGAUAAUGACGGUACCCGUAGAAUAAGCCCCGGCUAACUUCGCGCCAGCCGCCGCAGUAAAAC
rnacentral:rRNA from 1 species